rnacentral:lncRNA from 1 species
AGUUGGCUGUGCAAAGUCUCAUAAAGACUUGAAGUAGCACAACUUUUUGAGUUAAUUAUGAAUACUCCUAUAUUCACAAAGCAUAUAUAUAUAUAUAUAUAAUGCUACAGUGAAAGAUAGAGUUGGAGUGAUGGGCAGAAGCCUCAUUCAUUUGUGUCUUUGUUUAAAGAAACAAUUUAUUACUAGUAUGAUAUUGUAAGUUCUUUGGAUACAAGAAUUGUAUUUUAUACGUAUUUUACCUUUACAAUGCUAAACACAGGGUCCUGGGCAGAAGGAGGCUCAUCCAGAUCAAAAUCAGCUUGCCUAUCAAUGCUGUGAAGAGAUCUACUUAUUACAUGAAUACAAAUCAAAGGGUAUAGGAAGGCAAGAGGAGUCAUUUGGCUCAAUUAAAUGGAAAACCAAACUGAGAACACUUAAACAGAGACAAAUACAGUCAUCCAUUCAAUCUGCUUUUAUUCCAGAAGACAUUUAA